UCCCUGGUGGUCUAGUGGUUAAGGCUCUGCACUUACACUGCAGAGGGCACAGGUUCAAUCCCUGGUCAGGGAA
rnacentral:tRNA from 1 species